GGAUGCAAGGAAAUGGUUCAAGGGUCCUGUAAGAAAUAUUGAUGGGCAGCAUGGAGAUACUUAACGUUUUUUUAUCACUGCUAAAGGAUUUAAAAAAUUGGUGGCUAGCCUACUAAAUUGUCAGCUACACUUGGGAUUAGGAUUAAUCCCAAAUUUCAGUUUCAGCAUCAACCUAGACUAGAUACACCCAAUACACAGCCUUUUUGUGUA
rnacentral:misc_RNA from 1 species